CGGAGGAAAGAACUAACUAGGAUUCCCUCAGUAGCUGCGAGCGAACAGGGAAGAGCCCAGCACCGAAUCCCGCGGCCGAGACCGGACGCAGGGAAAUGUGGUGUUAGGGAGUGGCAACAUGCCUCGCGUUCCGGCGGUGCGUCCAAGUCCUUCUUGAACGGGGCCACAGCCCAUAGAGGGUGCCAGGCCCGUAGCGACCGUUGCCGAACGCGAGGUGACCUCUCCUAAGAGUCGGGUUGCUUGAGAGUGCAGCCCUAAGUGGGUGGUAAACUCCAUCUAAGGCUAAAUAUGACCACGAGACCGAUAGCGAACAAGUACCGUGAGGGAAAGUUGAAAAGAACUUUGAAGAGAGAGUUCAAUAGUACGUGAAACCGUUCAGGGGUAAACCUGAGAAACCCGAAAGGUCGAAAGGGGAGAUUCAUUCGCGUCUCGACGGCUAAGCCGGACGCUUGCGUGACGGACGGCCGCGUGUCGUUUGCGCCUUGCGUUCGUGCUAGAUGUCGUCGAACGCGUGCACUUCUCCCCCAGUAGGACGUCGCGAUCCGUUGGGUGUCGGUCUAAGGCCCGUGGUGGAGCCCGGCUGGACGGUUCGCCGUUUCCUGUCGGACCCGCGGUGUCCCGGCCGACCCGCUCGACGGUAUACAGAUGGCGCGGGGCCGCGACUCAGUUCGCGUCCGGCCCGUAGCAAGCGCUUCGUACGCGUCGGCAAUCGGACCCUAGUGCCGGUUUCGACCUACGCAGGCUGUUGGCUGCGGUGUUCUCGGACAGACCUCGUUGAAACGUCCGAUCUGCGACGCUAUAGCUUUGGGUACUUUCAGGACCCGUCUUGAAACACGGACCAAGGAGUCUAGCAUGUGCGCGAGUCAUUGGGAAUAACUAAACCUAAAGGCGCAAUGAAAGUAAAGGUCAGCCCAGCGCUGGCCGAGGGAAGAUGGGCGGUCACGGUUUCCGUGCCGCUCCGCACUCCCGGGGCGUCUCGUUCUCAUUGCGAGAAGAGGCGCACCAAGAGCGUACACGCUGGGACCCGAAAGAUGGUGAACUAUGCCUGGUCAGGACGAAGUCAGGGGAAACCCUGAUGGAGGUCCGUAGCGAUUCUGACGUGCAAAUCGAUCGUCGGAACUGGGUAUAGGGGCGAAAGACUAAUCGAACCAUCUAGUAGCUG
rnacentral:rRNA from 1 species